rnacentral:tRNA from 1 species
GGAUUGUGGCUCAGUUGCAGAGCGCUCGCCUAGCAUGAGCAAGGCCCUGGGUUCGAACCUCAACACCA